rnacentral:rRNA from 1 species
UACGAAGGGUGCAAGCGUUACUCGGAAUUACUGGGCGUAAAGCGUGCGUAGGCGGUUUGUUAAGUCCGUUGUGAAAGCCCUGGGCUCAACCUGGGAAUUGCAGGUGGAUACUGGCGAGCUAGAGUGCGGUAGAGGAUGGUGGAAUUCCCGGUGUAGCGGUGAAAUGCGUAGAGAUCGGGAGGAACACCCGUGGCGAAGGCGGCUCUCUGGGACGGUACUGACGCUGAGACGGCGAAAGCGUGGGGAGCGAACAGG